rnacentral:rRNA from 1 species
AUUGAACGCUGGCGGCAGGCUUAACACAUGCAAGUCGCGCGUGCGGCGGUCGUGUGAGUAAUGUCUGGGAAACUGCCUGCGGGAGGGGGAUAACUACUGGAAACGGUCUCUAAUACCGCAUAACCUCCGUUGUUCCCAGAUGGGAUUAGCUCGUAGGUUGGGUAAUGGCUCACAUAGGCGACGAUCCCUAGCUGGGCUGAGAGCAUGACCAGCCACACAGGAACUUAGACACGGUCCAAACUCCUACGGGAGGCAGCAGUGGGGAAGAUUUCACAAUGGGCGCAAACAUGAUGCAGUCAUGCCGCGGGUGUGAAGAAGGCCUUCGGGUUGUAAAGCACUUUCAGCGAGGAGGCGUUACUCGCAGAAGAAGCACCGGCUAACACCGUGCCAGCAGCCGCGGUAAUAC